ACGGCUCAGUAACACGUGGACAACCUACCCUUAGGUCGGGAAUAAACCCGGGAAACUGGGUAUAAUACCCGAUAGUGCUCGACUGCUGGAAUGCAUCGAGUACUAAAGCUCCGGCGCCUAAGGAUGGGUCUGCGGCCUAUCAGGUAGUAGUGGGUGUAGCGUACCUACUAGCCUACGACGGGUACGGGUUGUGAGAGCAAGAGCCCGGAGAUGGAUUCUGAGACACGAAUCCAGGCCCUACGGGGUGCAGCAGGCGCGAAAACUUUACAAUGCUGGAAACAGCGAUAAGGGGACCUCGAGUGCCAGGUUACAAAUCUGGCUGUCGUGAUGCCUAAAAAGCAUUGCAUAGCAAGGGCCGGGCAAGACCGGUGCCAGCCGCCGCGGUAACACCGGCGGCUCGAGUGGUAACCGUUAUUAUUGGGUCUAAAGGGUCUGUAGCCGGCCGGAUAAGUCUCUUGGGAAAUCUGGCAGCUUAACUGUCAGGCUUUCAGGGGAUACUGUCUGGCUCGAGGCCGGGAGAGGUGAGAGGUACUUCAGGGGUAGGGGUGAAAUCUUGUAAUCCUUGAAGGACCACCAGUGGCGAAGGCGUCUCACCAGAACGGACCUGACGGCAAGGGACGAAAGCUAGGGGCACGAACCGGAUUAGAUACCCGGGUAGUCCUAGCCGUAAACGAUACUCGCUAGGUGUCGGCCACGGUGCGACCGUUGUCGGUGCCGUAGGGAAGCCGUGAAGCGAGCC
rnacentral:rRNA from 1 species